rnacentral:rRNA from 1 species
ACGACGGGAGUAACGCGUAUCCGAACCUGCCCGCUAACUCGGGUAUAGCCCAGUGAAAACUGGAUUAAUCCCCGAUGGCAUCUUACGCUGACAUCAAAGUAAGAUUAAAGGUUACGGUAGCGGAUGGGGAUGCGUCCGAUUAGCUAUGUUGGCGGGGUAACGGCCCACCAAGGGCGACGAUCGGUAGGGGUUCCUGAGAGGAAGGUCCCCCACAUUGGAACUGAGACACGGUCCAAACUCCUACGGGAGGCAGCAGUGAGGAAUAUUGGUCAAUGGACGAGAGUCUGAACCAGCCAAGUAGCGUGCAGGAUGACGGCCCUAUGGGUUGUAAACUGCUUUUAUCAGGGAAUAAAGUGCGGCACGCGUGCCGUUUUGUAUGUACCUGACGAAUAAGGACCGGCUAAUUCCGUGCCAGCCGCGGC